UUCUCGAAAGAUCCUGGAACGGCCACAAUCUCAAGAGGUAGUACGAUUCUACCCGUCGUUAUAUUUCGUCCGCCAAGCCAUUGCGCGGAGAUGUUGGCUCCAUGCCCAUUUCAACACAGGCUCACUCGCCCGCGCUCGCGCGUCGUCGCUUUGCCUUCAUGCCACCAGCCAGCGCUGCCUGUCGCGCAUGCGCUGUUCUUGUUGGGUUCGCUUUGGCUGCUGUAACGGUGUAACGGUCGUUUCUCGUCGCCGCGUGUAGUUCGCGUAAUUGCGAGCGUUCCAGCAAGUCUAAAGCGUUUAAGAGGCUUUGUAUUGUUGUUCUCACCUGAUGCUGUCGUUCUUGCAACCCGUCUGAUAUUGCAACUGUCUGUAAGUGGAAGCGUUUCUUCUAACCGCGAGCAGACCAGUCGGUCUCGUUUGACAUGUCAAAGAGUGAAGACGCUGCCUUGCAUGUGAAGCCAAAUCGUUCUUCGCCUUCAGGAUUCUUGCCGUUUCAGGGAUCUGCACAACGACAGGGAGAUAGAACACCAAGUGAAGUCUACUGUAUGCUUUGUGCAGACGGUUCAGCGUGUAUGACGCAGCGGCAUCCAGCAAGAGAAACUCAAGCACCGUGUUCAAAUGCGGUGGGGACUCUUGCUCGACAUAACAACGCUUAGAAGUGCUUUUUCGGAAGAAGGACAAGUUGGACCGGAAAUGAGGACCUAGGUGUGCUCUUUUGCGUUGUUGUUCACCGUUCGAUCAUUACCAAUUUCUCUGCCCCCGUGAGUUCAACGCUCAGGUAUGUUGUUGAUAAAUGGAUAUGCGUUAAAAGGUACGUACUCCGGAGUGGUGAAUUGUUGUGGUGAAGUGAUUUGUUGCUGCUAUCUCCUGUUUCGUGAGGGUUCUUGUCGGUACUCAUAUACCGCAGGCAUGAGGGGCUUUCUUUGCAGAACAUUUCAGUGAACCAAGACUGCAGCAUUUUCAAGAUUGCCAUAACCAGCAUCAAUGCAGCUCUCAUGUCAACAUCAGCAUCAAGACAGCUCUGAUAGACCACCUCUUACUGGGUACGUUUCCCCCCCCCCCUUUUGAGACACCAUUGAAGGGCCAGUGGUUACGCAGGCAGGCUGGAUAUUAUGGUAGACCA